rnacentral:ribozyme from 14 species
AAAAAAAAAAAAAAAAAAAAAAGGUCACCCAACCCAGAGUUCCUGACUUUCUCACUCUUGUCCACUCUCUCCUACCAUUUUCGAUUUCCAAA